UUAUUUCAAAUGGAAGUCAUACAACUGGAUUGAUUUUGGCGUGUCCUCUUAAAGCAAAGGUGAUCCUCUAUCAGCUGCUGAACACCUCAAAGAGAAGGACGAUGAAUCUAUCAACAAGCACUUAUUAAGUGCCUUUUAGGAGGCAGGCACUGUGCUAAACGCUGGAGAUACAAAAACCGAGAUGGAAAAGUCUCUGUCCUCAAGAAGCCUACUUUUGUAGCAGGGAAAUAAACACAUGUAAGGAUAUAUUAAAUCCAGGGACAGCGACUGAACCUGUGUUUUCAAAUAAAUACAAGAACAGCUCAACUUGUUCAUUUCUAAAAUGCAGAUGCGUAUACAAAGGACUGGGAAACUGAGUCUGAGCAAUUAAAGAGUUGUAACAGUGGCCAUCCCAUGGAACAUGAAUGGAGAAGUGGUUUCACUUCUCACAGUGGAGAAAAGGCCCGUCCCCAAAUAUGUUUUAUGGAUAGGUGGGAUUGGAGAUUGAUAGAAGCUUCAGCCAGAUCUGGGGGUUCUGUUGGGAAAUGGAAGAUAUCCUUAAAAAAACAGCACCACCUACAAUAAUAACGUGCAACAUCUCUUCCUGGAAUGCAUUCUGUCAUUGUUCUCCUAGUGGAUGUCAGGAUCUUCCUGUUCAAGAAGCAGCUCCAGGCAUAUCAUUUACUAAGAGACAAAGUGAAGAAGAGGAAAGAAGGGGAAUAAAAAAAGGAGGCAAUGGAGAAGUGCAUUGUGGAUGUGACCAGAUGCAACAUACAAUAAAUAUGGGACUUCAAAGAAGAAUUGGAGUAAGCAAUGACAUCAGGGAAAUAUAUGAUUGAAAAAGAAGAUGAGCUGGUUAUAUGAUAAGGAUCAAAGAUAACAAGUGGACAUCAUAACUGCUUCACUGUUAUCUUUGUGAUGUCAUAGGAAAGCAAGUCUUCUGUACAUAGGAUGAAAAUUCCUCCCCUCCCCUGCAAAAAAAAUUAUGUAAAGAUAUUUUAUUUGUACUUGUUGUCUCCC